AUUGAACGCUGGCGGCGUGCUUAACACAUGCAAGUCGAACGGAAAGGCCCUGCUUUUGUGGGGUGCUCGAGUGGCGAACGGGUGAGUAACACGUGAGUAACCUGCCCUUGACUUUGGGAUAACUUCAGGAAACUGGGGCUAAUACCGGAUAGGAGCUCCUGCUGCAUGGUGGGGGUUGGAAAGUUUCGGCGGUUGGGGAUGGACUCGCGGCUUAUCAGCUUGUUGGUGGGGUAGUGGCUUACCAAGGCUUUGACGGGUAGCCGGCCUGAGAGGGUGACCGGCCACAUUGGGACUGAGAUACGGCCCAGACUCCUACGGGAGGCAGCAGUGGGGAAUAUUGCACAAUGGGCGGAAGCCUGAUGCAGCAACGCCGCGUGCGGGAUGACGGCCUUCGGGUUGUAAACCGCUUUCGCCUGUGACGAAGCGUGAGUGACGGUAAUGGGGAAAGAAACACCGGCUAACUACGU
rnacentral:rRNA from 1 species